UAUUUAUUAUUUUUCCAUGCGUGAGUCACAGAGAGGAAGACAGAGAUCCAACACCCAACAGAGCUUUGGCACUCCCAUCGAUCCACUCCCAGCCUCUGCCAGCCUGGAUCAUGAGUGCAGUGUGCCAAGCGCUCAGGGAGUUCUCCAAAGCCCCCUCUGCUCUGCCAUGAACGCUCUGAAACAGAGAUUAUUUUUCUCUCCCUGAAAAUAUCUGACGACUGCUUAUCACUUACGAAGCAAGUCUGAGCAACCGAGCUCGUCUCCAAAGCCUUCUUCCCACAGUCCCUGCCCCUCUCUCCUGCGCACUACCUCCCCGCGGUGCGUAAGUCACCGCGAACAUUCCGGAACGCUCCGCAGACUCUGCCCGACUCCCGCCCUCCCUGCGACUCCCGUCUUUGGUCCGCUCUGCGCACUCUGGCCCUGUUUUACACGAUAGCUGUCUGCCCUGUUGCAGGCAAAGGAUCCGGAGGACGGAGGCCUAGGAGCGAAGAGCCGGGUCAGGUCCCCGGGAUAAAAGGGGAAAAGCGACAGCCGACCUGUGAUUCACAAGAGCAAGAGGCUGUAAGGAUCGCACCUCCUGAUUGGAGCAGACAGAAUCAGACAAGUUUGCGGGCUGCUCAUUGGCUCUGGCGCGGUCAGGCGCUGUUGGGCUGUUGUAAAUGUAAAUAGCUCUCGCGGGCCCCGGGUCUGUGACCGACAGUAACCCCGGGGAGUGGGGGUGGAGAGGGAGGCCGCUCCUCUCCAUUCAUGUCUGCUGCCAGCCAGGCCCAGACAGGCAGGCCCUUUCGCAGAGGGGGCUGGGCAGGACGAGGCGGAGGGCUGCGUCUCCCGACUUGUGAAGCUUGAGCUGAGAGCAAAACGCCCACCGCAGGUCUGAGCCGAGGCUUCCUUUCUGCGCCCAGCUGUGACUGCUAAGACUUCACGCCAUGUUCGUGUGAGGACGGGUGUGCUGCAGGUCGCGAGGACGGUGGCUGUCGUAGGUGUGCCCUAGUGACCACAGGGAGGUGCAGCCUGUCCUUGGCUGCUCCUGAUCACAGUAACCUAUUUGUGGAAAAGGCAACAGUGGGCGGUUGGCCUGAUAAUAGCCUUCCUACUAGAGGGAGAAGCUGCUCCCACCCUCUGCUCCAGGGGAAAGGGACGCUGGGGAAACUGACUUUCUUGGAAAUAAAAAGAGGAAAGGGACAAAUGGGUACAUGGUGAGAAUCAAGGACUGGUGGAAAUGUAAAAUGGUGUAGCCAGUGUGGAAAAAGUUGGGUAGUUGCACACACACAAAAUGAAACAUGGAAUUACCCCAUGGCCCAGCAGCUGUGCUCCUAGGUGACACUCAGGUGAACUGAAAGCAAGCGUUCUAGUCACAGUAGCCCAAGAGGGGAAACAGCUCGAGUGUUCAUCAAUUCUUGGAUCAAUAAAGCAGUGUGAUACAGAAAGCAGUGGAAUAUGAACCAGCUAUAAAAAGGAAUGCAGCACUGGGGAACCAGCACUUAGCGUAAUGGCUA